rnacentral:rRNA from 1 species
UACAGAGGUCUCAAGCGUUGUUCGGAUUCAUUGGGCGUAAAGAGCGUGUAGGCGGCCAGGUAGGUCUGCUGUGAAAACUCGAGGCUUAACCUCGAGCUGUCGGCGGAAACCAUCUGGCUAGAGUCCGGAAGAGGAGGAUGGAAUUCCCGGUGUAGCGGUGAAAUGCGCAGAUAUCGGGAAGAACACCCGUGGCGAAGGCGGUUCUCUGGGACGGUACUGACGCUGAGGUGCGAAAGCGUGGGGAGCAAACAGG